UACGUAGGUGGCAAGCGUUAUCCGGAUUUAUUGGGCGUAAAGGGAACGCAGGCGGUCUUUUAAGUCUGAUGUGAAAGCCUUCGGCUUAACCGGGGUAGUGCACUGGAAACUGGGAGACUUGAGUGCAGAAGAGGAGAGUGGAACUCCAUGUGUAGCGGUGAAAUGCGUAGAUAUAUGGAAGAACACCAGUGGCGAAAGCGGCUCUCUGGUCUGUAACUGACGCUGAGGUUCGAAAGCGUGGGUAGCAAACAGG
rnacentral:rRNA from 1 species